rnacentral:rRNA from 1 species
GACGAACGCUGGCGGCGUGCUUAACACAUGCAAGUCGAACGGAAAGGCCCUGCUUUUGUGGGGUGCUCGAGUGGCGAACGGGUGAGUAACACGUGAGUAACCUGCCCUUGACUUUGGGAUACCUUCAGGAAACUGGGGCUAAUACCGGAUAGGAGCUCCUGCUGCAUGGUGGGGGUUGGAAAGUUUCGGCGGUUGGGGAUGGACUCGCGGCUUAUCAGCUUGUUGGUGGGGUAGUGGCUUACCAAGGCUUUGACGGGUAGCCGGCCUGAGAGGGUGACCGGCCACAUUGGGACUGAGAUACGGCCCAGACUCCUACGGGAGGCAGCAGUGGGGAAUAUUGCACAAUGGCGGAAGCCUGAUGCAGCGACGCCGCGUGCGGGAUGACGGCCUUCGGGUUGUAAACCGCUUUCGCCUGUGACGAAGCGUGAGUGACGGUAAUGGGUAAAGAAGCACCGGCUAACUACGUGCCAGCAGCCGCGGUGAUACGUAGGGUGCGAGCGUUGUCCGGAUUUAUUGGGCGUAAAGGGCUCGUAGGUGGUUGAUCGCGUCGGAAGUGUAAUCUUGGGGCUUAACCCUGAGCGUGCUUUCGAUACGGGUUGACUUGAGGAAGGUAGGGGAGAAUGGAAUUCCUGGUGGAGCGGUGGAAUGCGCAGAUAUCAGGAGGAACACCAGUGGCGAAGGCGGUUCUCUGGGCCUUUCCUGACGCUGAGGAGCGAAAGCGUGGGGAGCGAACAGGCUUAGAUACCCUGGUAGUCCACGCUGUAAACGGUGGGUACUAGGUGUGGGGUCCAUUCCACGGGUUCCGUGCCGUAGCUAACGCUUUAAGUACCCCGCCUGGGGAGUACGGCCGCAAGGCUAAAACUCAAAGGAAUUGACGGGGCCCCGCACAAGCGGCGGAGCAUGCGGAUUAAUUCGAUGCAACGCGUAGAACCUUACCUGGGUUUGACAUGGAUCGGGAGUGCUCAGAGAUGGGUGUGCCUCUUUUGGGGUCGGUUCACAGGUGGUGCAUGGCUGUCGUCAGCUCGUGUCGUGAGAUGUUGGGUUAAGUCCCGCAACGAGCGCAACCCUUGUUCACUGUUGCCAGCACGUUAUGGUGGGGACUCAGUGGAGACCGCCGGGGUCAACUCGGAGGAAGGUGGGGAUGACGUCAAGUCAUCAUGCCCCUUAUGUCCAGGGCUUCACGCAUGCUACAAUGGCUGGUACAGAGAGUGGCGAGCCUGUGAGGGUGAGCGAAUCUCGGAAAGCCGGUCUCAGUUCGGAUUGGGGUCUGCAACUCGACCUCAUGAAGUCGGAGUCGCUAGUAAUCGCAGAUCAGCAACGCUGCGGUGAAUACGUUCCCGGG